CCGCACAGAGCGUUUCGGACAGUCGGGCACUGCUUAUGCAAUAAAGAAAAACAACAAUACAGCAUGUUUCUCUGCUCCAAGACAUCCGCGGUCCUUUCACACGGUUCUCAGUCAUCCAGCUCAUGGUUGUCUAAGGAGCCUGGAAACACUUCAGCCACCUGGAAAUACCCAGCCUGCAGAAGGAGACGUCGUUCAGGUUGCAGGACUUGGUGGUUAUAGAGUAAAUGCCACCGGCCACACACUCCCUGAUGAACCACCUAAUCUUCAGUGUGCAGACAUGUGUGUUGCUGACUGUGAGCCUACCAGAUACUCUCAGUGUACUGCAUAUGUGCCAUAUAACAACAGGCUGUGUCUGGAAGAACAUCAAGUAGAUGCACGUGGGGGUGAUUCUGGUGGUGGAGUGAUUUACAACAACAUGAUUUAUGGUGUAAUCAGUUCUGGUUUUGAACGUGUCUGUACUGGACCAGCUGUUACUGUGAAUGUUUGUUCUGACAUGAACUGGAUAAAUCAGAAAAUUGCUCAAAAUAAUGGAAAAUAACUGAAUGAAAAUAACAUCCAGAAUAAACAAUCAUCUCUACAUGAA
ensembl:lncRNA